rnacentral:rRNA from 1 species
GACGAACGUUGGCGGCGUGCUUAACACAUGCAAGUCGAACGGAAAGGCCCUGCUUUUGUGGGGUGCUCGAGUGGCGAACGGGUGAGUAACACGUGAGUAGCCUGCCCUUGACUUUGGGAUAACUUCAGGAAACUGGGGCUAAUACCGGAUAGGAGCUCCUGCUGCAUGGUGGGGGUUGGAAAGUUUCGGCGGUUGGGGAUGGACUCGCGGCUUAUCAGCUUGUUGGUGGGGUAGUGGCUUACCAAGGCUUUGACGGGUAGCCGGCCUGAGAGGGUGACCGGCCACAUUGGGACUGAGAUACGGCCCAGACUCCUACGGGAGGCAGCAGUGGGGAAUAUUGCACAAUGGGCGGAAGCCUGAUGCAGCAACGCCGCGUGCGGGAUGACGGCCUUCGGGUUGUAAACCGCUUUCGCCUGUGACGAAGCGUGAGUGACGGUAAUGGGUAAAGAAGCACCGGCUAACUACGUGCCAGCAGCCGCGGUGAUACGUAGGGUGCGAGCGUUGUCCGGAUUUAUUGGGCGUAAAGGGCUCGUAGGUGGUUGAUCGCGUCGGAAGUGUAAUCUUGGGGCUUAACCCUGAGCGUGCUUUCGAUACGGGUUGACUUGAGGAAGGUAGGGGAGAAUGGAAUUCCUGGUGGAGCGGUGGAAUGCGCAGAUAUCAGGAGGAACACCAGUGGCGAAGGCGGUUCUCUGGGCCUUUCCUGACGCUGAGGAGCGAAAGCGUGGGGAGCGAACAGGCUUAGAUACCCUGGUAGUCCACGCUGUAAACGGUGGGUACUAGGUGUGGGGUCCAUUCCACGGGUUCCGUGCCGUAGCUAACGCUUUAAGUACCCCGCCUGGGGAGUACGGCCGCAAGGCUAAAACUCAAAGGAAUUGACGGGGCCCCGCACAAGCGGCGGAGCAUGCGGAUUAAUUCGAUGCAACGCGUAGAACCUUACCUGGGUUUGACAUGGAUCGGGAGUGCUCAGAGAUGGGUGUGCCUCUUUUGGGGUCGGUUCACAGGUGGUGCAUGCCUGUCGUCAGCUCGUGUCGUGAGAUGUUGGGUUAAGUCCCGCAACGAGCGCAACCCUUGUUCACUGUUGCCAGCACGUUAUGGUGGGGACUCAGUGGAGACCGCCGGGGUCAACUCGGAGGAAGGUGGGGAUGACGUCAAGUCCUCAUGCCCCUUAUGUCCAGGGCUUCACGCAUGCUACAAUGGCUGGUACAGAGAGUGGCGAGCCUGUGAGGGUGAGCGAAUCUCGGAAAGCCGGUCUCAGUUCGGAUUGGGGUCUGCAACUCGACCUCAUGAAGUCGGAGUCGCUAGUAAUCGCAGAUCAGCAACGCUGCGGUGAAUACGUUCCCGGGGCU